rnacentral:rRNA from 1 species
UACGUAGGGUGCGAGCGUUAAUCGGAAUUACUGGGCGUAAAGCGUGCGCAGGCGGUUUUGUAAGCCAGAUGUGAAAUCCCCGGGCUUAACCUGGGAAUGGCAAUGGAGACUGCAAGGCUAGAGUUUGGCAGAGGGGGGUAGAAUUCCACGUGUAGCAGUGAAAUGCGUAGAGAUGUGGAGGAACACCGAUGGCGAAGGCAGCCCCCUGGGUCAAAACUGACGCUCAUGCACGAAAGCGUGGGGAGCGAACAGG